rnacentral:tRNA from 1 species
GGAGAGGUGGCAGAGCGGUUGAAUGCGGCGGUCUCGAAAACCGUUAUAGGCGUUUUCUCGUCUAUCGAGGGUUCGAAUCCCUCCCUCUCCG